UUAAUGUAAACAGAUAACGAAGACUUUAUCAAUUGACCUGGUAUGUUGUUAUGGAUAAUAACCAAAGAAUUGUUUUAACAGAUUAUGGAAAAAUGUGCAUUUGACUGGAUCUAUAGGAACUUUAUAUUAAUAACUUGUUUAGGUCUUGUGGUUUUCACGAAAGAAGAAUCUCAACAGUACAGCUACGAAUGCAACGAAAACGGAGACAUUACAUUACUAGGAUUACUACAAAAUUCACAAGUUACAAUCAUAGAAGUAUCGUAUAAAAAUGGAUCGUUAGUCUUGCCAAAUUGCACUU